rnacentral:rRNA from 1 species
UACGAAGGGGGCUAGCGUUGCUCGGAAUUACUGGGCGUAAAGGGAGCGUAGGCGGAUAGUUAAGUUGGGGGUGAAAUCCCGGGGCUCAACCCCCGGAACUGCCUUUGAUACUGGAUAUCUUGAGUUCGGAAGAGGUAAGUGGAAUUGCGAGUGUAGAGGUGAAAUUCGUAGAUAUUCGCAGGAACACCAGUGGCGAAGGCGGCUUACUGGUCCGAUACUGACGCUGAGGUGCGAAAGCGUGGGGAGCAAACAGGG